UACGUAGGGUGCGAGCGUUAAUCGGAAUUACUGGGCGUAAAGCGUGCGUAGGUGGUUCGGUAAGUCUGUCGUGAAAGCCCCGGGCUCAACCUGGGAAUGGCGAUGGAUACUGGCGGGCUAGAGUGCGGUAGAGGAGAGUGGAAUUCCCGGUGUAGCAGUGAAAUGCGUAGAGAUCGGGAGGAACAUCAGUUGCGAAGGCGGCUCUCUGGACCAGCACUGACACUGAGGCACGAAAGCGUGGGGAGCAAACAGG
rnacentral:rRNA from 1 species